UCUAAAAUUCCCCGCGCAUCAGUACACCUAUUUCUGGUUCUCUAGAUUGGUCUUGGUACAGGAUACAUCUUAAGCUUGGUCUUGGUACAGGAUACAUCUUAAGCUGGAGUUCGUCGCUAAGCAGAUGGAGAUGUGUGUAUGUAUACAUGUGUUCUGGAGAUAGGAGAACUAUCUGGUGGUGUGUGCGUGCUGCUGCAUCCUCUUCCGGCUGCUCUAAUUCACACCUUCAGUACAACUUCUGUAUGCCCUCGUGUUCACGAAUCUUGUAGUACUUUUUUCCAUAAAAAUCUUGUGGUACUAUGUAAAGCAAGCGUGGCCAACACAUAGUUUAGGUGUCGCGGUAGUACUCACUGUUGAUGGUGGCCUUCUUUUGUGCCGCUACUACUUUGCCACCUAGAGUGGUACUGCUACUACUUAUCAUGUUGAUAAAACCUCGCGAACAGUACAUCUAUUUGAUUAACGAUUCUGUAGGGAGAAAAAGUUCACCAAUGUACAAUCUCUAAUCUCAAUAUACCAAAACUUUUUGUUUAGUAGUUGGUACUGCUCAAGUUUAUUUCUUGAUGUACACAUGAUGUCCAAAUUCUUCUUUCAAUUCGGUUCAAUUUAUAAAUUUC